AGGCGGGGCCUAGCGUUGUAGCGGGCUGAGAAGGCUGCGACCAGCUAGGGAGAAAUCGUGCUCUUCCCCACUACUCCCUUUGCCACGAAUCCUGGGGCCAGUAACUUGGCUUUUCUGAGCCUCAGCCUUCUCACCUGUGAACUGUGGAUAAGGACACCUGAUCCUAGGGUGGAGGAAAGAACCAGUUUGUAGCUUUUGGGGCAAGACCAAUUUCAUUGGAAAAGCUGAGAUCUAUGAACCUUCUUCCUAGAAAAGUCCAAAUUUUAAAGAGUUCAUGAAGCUGGUUUAGGAAACUUGGCUCUAAAAACCAGUGGCAUUGCUACCAACUACAAAUAUACAAGUGCAAGGUUAUUGGAGAUCAUGAACACCACACAAAACAUGAAGAGUCCAGUGGGCUGUCUUCAAAAAUAAGAUGACAGAUACCACUAUUCCAAAAAAAAAA